UACGUAGGGGGCGAGCGUUGUCCGGAAUUAUUGGGCGUAAAGCGCGCGCAGGCGGUUUCUUAAGUCUGCUGUGAAAGCCCGUGGCUCAACCACGGAGGGUCAUUGGAAACUGGGAAGCUUGAGUACAGAAGAGGAGAGUGGAAUUCCACGUGUAGCGGUGAAAUGCGUAGAUAUGUGGAGGAACACCAGUGGCGAAAGCGGCUCUCUGGUCUGUAACUGACGCUGAGGCGCGAAAGCGUGGGGAGCAAACAGG
rnacentral:rRNA from 1 species